AGCAGUGACUUCAGGUGAGUAGAACUAAACCAAAUCUUUUAUUUUAAGAAAAUCAAAUGCCUAAAGCAUACUCAUACAUCAUGUUAUGUAAUAGGAUGAUUGCAUUAGCUUCACCAUGCCCAUGCACCAUGUUUAUAUGUGAUAGGAUGAUUGCAUUAGUUUCACGAAGGUGACGCAUUGCAUAAUUUGCUGUGUAUAUGAUGAGAUGGGUGGACCAAGGCGACCUCAAUAGCCCGCAAGUCUGUCAAUGAGUCUUUGUCAAUCGGGCGAGUACAUUUAGGAAAGCCCCAUGAGAGCUCCUUCGGGGCCAAGUUUUGACAGAGGGAAUGUUGGGGUCAUGUCUAACCCUGAGGGGAAGGACGUUUCGUGAACCCUCUAAAAUCACCCGCAAGAGGAAGAGAUUUGCUAGCGUGAACUCAAGCGGGG
rnacentral:lncRNA from 1 species